CGAGAGGGAAGGGCAUAAACAUGUGAAGUGGAACACCGUUCAUUCUGCUCCAAAUUCUGAUUGUUUUCAUACCGAGAAGCAGCAGAAAGCAGGAGGAAUUACUCCAGGAGAAACUAAUCGCAUACAAUUGUAAAGAUGGAGUUUCAGGAAGAACCCUGCAGAAUAAAAGAUGAAGAUACAGAGAAACUAAUAGACCCGGUGGAAGUGAAUAAAGACAAACAGUAUUUCACAAAUGAAGAUGGAAACAGACU